rnacentral:rRNA from 1 species
GAUGAACGCUGGCGGCGUGCCUAAUACAUGCAAGUCGAGCGAACAGACGAGGAGCUUGCUCCUCUGACGUUAGCGGCGGACGGGUGAGUAACACGUGGAUAACCUACCUAUAAGACUGGGAUAACUUCGGGAAACCGGAGCUAAUACCGGAUAAUAUAUUGAACCGCAUGGUUCAAUAGUGAAAGACGGUUUUGCUGUCACUUAUAGAUGGAUCCGCGCCGCAUUAGCUAGUUGGUAAGGUAACGGCUUACCAAGGCGACGAUGCGUAGCCGACCUGAGAGGGUGAUCGGCCACGCUGGAACUGAGACACGGUCCAGACUCCUACGGGAGGCAGCAGUAGGGAAUCUUCCGCAAUGGGCGAAAGCCUGACGGAGCAACGCCGCAUGAGUGAUGAAGGUCUUCGGAUCGUAAAACUCUGUUAUUAGGGAAGAACAAAUGUGUAAGUAACUAUGCACGUCUUGACGGUACCUAAUCAGAAAGCCACGGCUAACUACGUG